rnacentral:rRNA from 1 species
GACGAACGCUGGCGGCGUGCUUAACACAUGCAAGUCGAACGAAGUGGCGAACGGGUGAGUAACGCGUAAUCAACCUGCCCUUCAGAGGGGGACAACAGUUGGAAACGACUGCUAAUACCGCAUACUGAAGGAGGGGACUGCGUGUGAUUAGCUAGUUGGAGGGGUAACGGCCCACCAAGGCGGUGAUCAGUAGCCGGACUGGGAGGUGGAACGGCCACAAUGGGACUGGAGCACGGGCCAGACUCCUACCGGGGGGAACAGUGGGGGAUCUUGCGCAAUGGACGAAAGUCUGACGGGGCAACGGCGGCUGAGUGAUGACGGCCUUCGGGUUGGAAAGCUCUGUUAAUCGGGACGCGGUACCGGAAUAGAAAGCCACGGCUAACUACGUGCCAGCAGCCGCGGUAAUUC